AUUUCCCUCCCAAAACCUCUCAAAUUCUCCAAACUUCAUCAUACAUUUUUCAUCAAUUCUCAUCCAAUUCUUCAUCAUUUUUUAUCAUUCUUCUUGGAUCUACACUCUGCAAGUGAUUGUGCAUAACUGUUUCAACAACCUCGUGGCCAAAGCUUGCUGAAUUUGGACUGUGGCAUUCAAGGUCAUCAAUGGCAAUUUCAUGAUUCUUCAAGCUGGAGCUGUUUUGAAGCUGCAAAACCUCUUUCAAUCAUCUUCCUAAGCUUCAAUCAACUUCUGUUUUCAUCUUGUGGAUCUUGAAACACGCGAUUGCAACUUCUACACAUUCAUAAGGUGAGAUCUCGAAUUUUCCAAUUCUUGAAAUUAACACAUGGCUUUGAUAGAUCUCCUAGUGUAGAGUAGGAUGAAGCUUGAAUCGUGUGUUUUGGUUGAGUAUUAAGGAAGAGAUCUGGAAUUGAAGUUUGAUGUUUAAAGGAUGUUUUGAUCGGUUCAUGCUGUGUAGUUAGAAUUAGGGAAAAUUAGGUUGAUAUUCAUGAUGUGUGUUGAGAGAUCUUUCCAACGGUGUAUGGAUUGUUGAAUUUGAUGAUGAUUUGUUCAUGCUGGAUUUUGAUGAUGAACAUGCGAAGAACAUGGAUGAAUGUUGAAAUAAUUUUCCAGAAUUGGCUUUUGAUCUUCAUUUUGCGUUUUUGACAUGCUGUUGAUGUUUGUGGUACUGUUGCGCACUGUUUUUCACAUUUUUUAUUUUUCUUCCAUAUUAAAAAAUUCAUAACUAAUUCAAAAACAGUCCAAAUUUUGUGAGAUUUUUUGCAUUGUUCUCCUUGUAAUGUGUAGAAUUUGAUUAUGAUUUUUGUGGAAUUUUUGCACGUGUGGAAGUUUAAUUGGCCUACGGAUUUUUGACUUAUGUCAUUUGUUUUGUACAUUUUGGCAAUUGGAUCAUGAAAUACUCAUAUCAUAAAAUAAAUGGCUGAAAAUUUUUGUGGUGGUUCUUGACUCAUUGAGGAUUAUUUAUAUGUAAAUUUCAUGAAUUUUUGAUACCUGGUUAGAGAGCAGCAAAUUCUGGAACAUAGGUGUGACAAUUUGUGUCACACCUCUUGAUGUCAACUUGUUGAAUUUAAUUGGAUAACCUAUGCAUGUUAGAAUUGAAUGAAAUUUGGCAUGAUGACUUGUUGACAUGUUAGGAUGCUUGAUGAAUUUUUGUAGGAUUUUUCACUGUAUUUUCAAUUUGAUCAUGAUUUUUCAUUUCUGGUGAUUGAAAUUGCAAGCUCAUGUGAUACAUGUUGGUAGAUUGAUUGGGAAAUCCUCAUAUUGUAUUGUAUGGCCAUGAAAUUUGAUAUGCAUGAACUAGACACGUUGUGUGACCUCCCUGUUUUGGUCUCAUCCAUUUCUUUUUUGUUUUCAUUGAGUUAUGAAUUUUUGAAGUGGAUGUAUGCAUUGAUGUUGUGAAUUGGAGCAUGUAACUGUGUCUGUUUUUGUUGAUUUUCAUUAACAUGGUUCUAUUUGCCCAAUUAAGCUCAAAUUUGACAUGGUAGACCUUGAUUGACCCCUGUUUAGGUGUAUUUAAUUUGAGAUUUUUUGAAUGUGUUUUGGCAUGGCUUUGAAUGCAAUACUUCUGUUUGUAUGCUUGGUGGUUCAUUUGACCUCAUAUGGAUUGUUUUGUGCAUGAAUUGAAUAUGAUGGAUGAUAUAAACAUGAGACCAAUGAUGUUUGCUCUUGUUUGAUGAUAAUUUGAUGUUGGAUGGUGGAUACCUUGCUGUUUAGGAGUUUUUAUUGCCUUUGGACCCUAGGCUUGGCCUAGUGGUCUAGUUGCUAAUGUUUGCUUGAUUUUUCAGGAUCAAAAAGCAUAAUGCACAUGGAGAAUGAUCCAAAUCAAUUUUAAUUGAUGUUGUUGAUAUUUGUACACUAACAUAACAUUGUUUUGUAGGUGUUGGAGCUUGGGCUUAAGCCUUGAGCUUGCUUUGUGUUGUAUUGUUUAAACUGUUUGAUUGUUUGCUGUAUAGUUUGUCUGAUUGAGUACUAACUGUGUUGGAUUGUUUCCAGGUACUUUAGUUGCUCAGUUCCUUGUGAACUUUUGCUUUGCGUUGCUUAAGCAACUUGCAUUGAGGAUGCGACACGGAGCACUACAAGCAAGCCCUGAUGGAGAAUCGCCGUUUGAGAGAGAAGGAGCAAGAUACCCAGAUGGAGCUGUACAAAGCCAAAGCUGAUAAGCUGCACUUGGCCCAUCAACUCAGGGAAGUACAAGGAGAAGAUGCUAGCAGACUGAGGAGCAAGAAGAGAUCCUACGAGGAGAUGGAGAGUAUGUUAGAUGCAGAACACCGAGAGCGCUUGAGGCUGCAGAGGGUUGAGGCCAGUUAUCAGAAGAAGAUCAGAGACUUGGAGAAGCAACUCAGAGACAAAGAUGCUCAGUUGAAGAAAGAGAUGGAGUUGAGACAGAAAUCAGAGGACCACCUUGGAGGAGAAGUCUUGGAGCUGAGAAGACAAUUGAAAGAGAAGAUCACUCCUUUACCAGAUUGUUCAGAAUGCUCACUGUUGAUCGACCAGUGCCAUUACCUGAAGACCCUCAUUCCGGAAGACCGUCUGUCUUAGUUUGUAUCUCUGAUUGUAUUUUGUUGAGAAUCACCUCCAGGCUUGUUGGAUGGGAUUCAUUUGCGUGUAA